UUGGGGUGGUGAUGGUGGUAUA
rnacentral:piRNA from 1 species